GGGAAGUUGGCCUGACAGUUCCAGCCCUCCUCCUCGGUGGGAAAGACUUUUUCCAAAGGCCUGGAAACGUGUGAAGGCUGCAAUCUGACUCCUUUGGCUUCCACUUCCCGGCAGAAAAAGAACCGCCGGUGCCAACAUUUCAACCCUCCCGGGGAGGCUGGAAAUAUUUAGGACUCCGUCCAAGGAUCAAUAAAAGAAAGAACAGGCCAGGAUUGUUGGGCUCCUUCAAACAAUAAAUUCCCGGCCCUGGGGAUUCAGCGACGGUGAGGAAGGCCGGUCCAGAAGGCCGAUGUCGCCAUGAUUCUUGGGGCAUCGCAGUCAUGCUGGAGAAUUCAGGCCCCGAUGCCUUAGAAAGCCCAUUGCUGCAGAAGGGAAGAGACAGGAUGUUCAGUUAAUGCUGGAGACACCCUGGGAACGAGGAGGAGAAGAGAGGCUUUCCCCAAAACCUUUGAGGUAUGGGGCCUGAACGGGUCUAGAGAUUAGAAUCCAGAAUUGCAUAAUUCACCACCGGACCUCCUCCAGCGAGGAGAUCUGCACCCACGGAGAAAUUGACAGGAGUUGGAGCAUCUCUCCCAGAGGCAAUGGAGAGGUAACCCACAGGAGAAAGAAGGCUCCUGGAAUAUGCUGCGUGGCUGCCAAACAUCAACAUGUGCGACCAUAAAACGCAGCCCCGGGAAGCGGAAUGCGAUAAUCUCGGACCUGAAAUUGUGAGCCAUGGGAGGUGAGAGAUGGAAGAGAGAGAGCUCUUUCCAGGGUGAAAAGAAGCACCAUUCAUCAAUUCCAAGACCAGCAGGGACCCCGUGAUCAUCCAGUCUAAUCUCCUGCGUAACACUGGCCAGAGAACUUCCUCAGAACAAUCCCUGUUUGAAUCAGUGCCGAUCUUUCCCAAAACUGUCCAAUCUUGAUUUAAAAACGGCUAGUGAUGGAGAAUCUGCCACAGCCCUUGGGCCUUUGCCAUGAUCACCUCUCUACCAGAUCACUAACCCCUGUCUGGCGCUGAUCUCUCCAUCUCCUUCACCACGCCAUCCGGCCUGCCCCCACCCCCACCGUCGUCAUCUUUGCAGCCCUAUGCCAACACAUCACGAAGCAACCUCU